UAAGAUUAAAGAUAUCCCAGCUACUUUUAUGUACAAUACAAGUAUAUUUUAAUGUACAUUAACUUUUAUGCGCCGGUCGAUCUCUGCUAAAGUUAUCAUAUCCUUUACCGAGGAUUCACGUUUGUUUCAAAAAACCAUUUUACAAGAAAGUGUUAUAUUUUUUACUUUUGCUAAGAUACUACUUAUGUACUUCAAUAGCAACAGCGUUAAAGUAUUUGUAUGAAUUAUAACCGCAGUUAUUUUACUAGGAGACAUCUCCACCAAUUCGUUUUACCUCGAAAUUUGUAAACAAAACGUAGAUUAACGUUUUAAAUUUUAUAUAUUAAAAACAUUUAACAAUAAUAUAGCAUCCUAUGACGUCAUUACAAUGAAUUUUUCAACAAAUGUUUCUGAUUUAUUGUUUUCCAAUUGUUGCGAUUGUUGUUGGAAUGCUUAAGUGCGUUCGGAAAGUUUCUUUGCGAAAUUCGACUGAUAAGAUGGAAGAAAAAGUAGGAGAAGAGUGGCCAAACCGAAUGUUCGGCAAAACAAAGUUUACCCAAUUCAGGAUGACAAAGAUUUGCCUGCGACGAAAUGUGACUCCUGGAACAAAGAAGAAUCGCGGUUGCGAGCAAAUAACCCGAUAAGAGAAGGAAGGUCUAUCGGAUACAUAAGACACUUAUUCCAUAGAUUCUUGUUAUGCUGCUGCAUUUCGGGCGAGAUUUCUGAUUCGAAGACUUAAGAACCGGAAAGAAAACUCGCAGAUUUUAACAACGAAGACGACUGUAUUUAUAUUAUAAAUCCGAUUACUUUAUUGACAAGAUUAUGUCUUGUUUGUAAAAUCGUGGCUUGCAACCUUAGAGGUAUGAAGAGUACAUGUCAGAAGUUGCAAUUUAGCACAGAAUAUUAAAGUGACCAUAUUUUAAUACUGGUAAAGCGGAACAAAAUUCACGAAAAGAGGAGUGGUUGUCUUGUUGAAAAAAAAGCAACAAAAUUUUAUCAUCAAU